rnacentral:rRNA from 1 species
GAUGAACGCUAGCUACAGGCUUAACACAUGCAAGUCGAGGGACCGGCGCACGGGUGAGUAACACGUAUCCACCCUGCCCUUUACUCGGGGAUAGCCUUUCGAAAGAAAGAUUCAUACCCGAUGUAAAGGAUGGGGAUGCGUUCCAUUAGGUUGUUGGUGAGGUAACGGCUCACCAAGCCUUCGAUGGAUAGGUGUUCUGAGAGGAAUGUCCCCCAAGUUGGAACGGAGACACGGGCCAAACGCCUACAGGAGGAAGAAGUGAUGAAUAGUGGUCAAUGGGCGUUAGUCUGAACCAGCCAAGUAGCGUGAUGGAUGAAGGCUUAGGGGUCGUAAUCUUCUUUUAUAUAAGAAUAUGUAUUAUAUGAAUAAGUAUCGGCUAACUCCGUGCCAGCCGCCGCGGUAAUAC